CACCAGAGCUCACCGCCGGCCCAGCCGCUGGGCUGCCCCUAUACUGAGCAUUAUUUUGUGUAUUUUGUGUAUUUUGUGGCCCUGGCCGGCUCGAGGGUUGCCCGCGGAUACCUCGACACUCAAGGAGCACUGCAGUGUCAACCUGGUGACCUCAGGCGAGCGCUGUCCCCCGUGUCCCGCCGGAGUCCUCCCACGAACCUGUAACUUACACUCUUACUGAUUCAUCAGUUCACACCACAACACCAGAAAACAGAACAACACGAGCAGACCAACCAGAGCAGGCAGCCCAAGGGAGCUGUGAGAAGGAGAAGAGCGGCCACACAACCACGAGCUGGAAAGAGCUGGACCAAAGAGGGCCGGGACCCACCUGUUGGUUCUUUGAGAGCAUCGGGGGGAAGACAGGUGGCACCAUCUAGCUUGUCCAUGGCAGGACCAGAAAGAGGGCCUGUCACAUGCCAACCCAGCUGGCUGGUAGCUGACCAGAAGGGCAGGUGGUGGGGCUGCCCCCAGGCCUUGUCCAGGAUGGGGUGCCCGUGCUGGGGGCCAGGGAGGCACAGAGCCCUGUCCUUCCUGACAGGCUGAGGACCAGUGUUUGGCGAGGCUGAAGAUGGCCUAGGGCGGCCCUGGGGCUGGGCUGUGUGGAGCAUUUCUGCUAAGGCAGAGAGAGGCAGCCCUCCCUGUCUCAUGUGGUCAGGAGGGGUCAGCACCCACCUCUGGGUGGCCAUCCGGGAGCCCUGCCCCUUGCCAUCACCUCCCCCACAGCAUGGUGCAGGCUCUGGGCUUGGGCUCUACAUGGGGAGUCCCUCCUUGAGGGCACCAGGAAGGAGAGGGCAGGGCUGGGGCUCCCACUGGUCGGAAGCUCUGUCCACACCCACAGGGCCCCCACCUUUGCAGACCCUGCCCAGGGCUCUGGCCUGCGGUGGAUCCCAGUUAGGUUGGGGUCAGGUUGAGCCUAAGACCACUGAAGGGGCUGCCCAGUGGGGUCACGCCGAGGUAGCCAGGAGGCUAGUCAGGCCCCAGGGACUGCAGGCCACGGCACAGGGUCUGGCUAGGAGCUGUGGCUGUGGGCUUGCUCUGGAGAGCUGCCCGGUCACAGGCACUGCUGCGCCACACAGGAGCCUGGCGCCCUCGAGAGUGCAGACAGCUUUGCACCCUGGCCUGGGCCUGCACACGCCCACCCACCACCUCUGCUGUCCCUUCACUGCUCACCACUUUUAGAGAGCCUCUCUGACCCGCCAGACGGCACUCACUCGGUGGCCUAAUUUCUGGGGUGGGGGCACACUUCUCCCUGCCUCCAUGCUGGACCCAGAGCCUCCCUUGCCCAAGGUGGCUGUGGCUGUCCCCUGGACUCUGUAGCUGGCUUGUUGUGGAGUGAGCAGGAGGCACUUCCCUGUUCCUGUCCUCCGAGUCCACAUGGGGAAUGGGUCUGCAUCAUGCGUGCCCCUGCCCUUGGCUCUGCCUGACUCCCAUGUCCAGACUGUACCUUGUCCUGGGUGCCCAGCGGGGACAGUGAGAGGCACACACGGGUUCUGGGUGGCUUGGUCAGGGGAAGAGAAUGAUCCUGGCAGGUGCCUUCAGACACCCGGAUCUGGCAGCUACCAGGGGUGGCUGGCCCAAAAGGGGCCCCAGGAGCUCCUCCCUGCAGCCCUGGGGCACACUUGCCAACGGGAGCCGAUCACUGGGUGCUGUACAUGCAGCUGUACAUGCAGCAAGAGGGAAAGCCUGCUGCCCUGCAGAGGCUGGAAGGAGGGGCAGUUGUUGGGAAAAGUAUAACGGCAGCUGCACCCCAGAGAAAAACCCCAACAUGGCGUCUAAGGACCUUCUCUUCCUACUUUCCCCUUUUUUUCCACUGGCUUGAAAAGUUCCCGCGGGUUGAACUCUCCUGCCGGCGCCAAGUUCAAAUCUCGCUGGCGGGGAACCUGAGCCCCAGUAAGAACUAAUUCCUGGGCUCCAGAGCUGAUAUCUGGAAGAACUUGCCAAUAAACGCGCGGCCUGCCAUUUAUCUAAGCCCUGCCAUCUCUCCUAGAUCUAUGUUAGCACAGAGCCUUUUGCAAUAAAGUUGGAAUUCUCCCCGGCGA